UACGUAGGGUCCAAGCGUUAUCCGGAAUCACUGGGCGUAAAGCGUGCGUAGGUGGAUAUUUAAGUGAGAUGUGAAAGCGUGUGGCUCAACCAUAUCGUUGUGUCUCAUACUGGGUAUCUAGAGGAUGGCAGAGGCAAGUGGAAUUUCUCGUGUAGCGGUAAAAUGCGUAGAUAUGAGAAGGAACACCAAUGGCGAAGGCAGCUUGCUGGGCCACCCCUGACACUGAGGUACGAAAGCGUGGGGAGCGAACAGG
rnacentral:rRNA from 1 species